UUCAACUAUAUGGGCAAGAGCCUUCUCACCAAUGGAUAAGAAUCCCUUCCUCUUGAAUUCUCUGUCCUUUCUCCACCCUAGGCCGAAGCCUCUACAUACCUCCAAUUCUUGAGUGCCUUUAAUCAUCGCAUCUCCAUGCUUGAACUUGAAAUUUUCAAAUCAUCAAUCUCUCCAAUCUUCAUCUUGGGUGUAACUUAUUUCUUCAAAAAAUUUUCGCGUCAUCUAUCUUCUUGAUUUUGCAUCAAGAGCUCCACUUCAAUUUCAACUCUCCAUCAUUACUAUUAUUACAUGUGCGACUUUACAUGUCCCAGUAGCUUCACCCUCAACAAAACUCACCAAGAUUAUCCCCAUGCUCUGAUACUAAUUUGUUGUGCAUUGCGGAAGCGUGUAAACUGUAAAAAAAUAAAGCAAAUA
rnacentral:misc_RNA from 1 species